rnacentral:rRNA from 1 species
GACCUCAAAUCAGGUAAGAACACCCGCUGAACUUAAGCAUAUCAAUAAGCGGAGGAAAAGAAAAUAACAAUGAUUCCCCUAGUAACUGCGAGUGAAGAGGGACAAGCUCAAAUUUUAAAUCUGUUCGGUUCUACCUGACAGAGUUGUAAUUUAAAGAAACGUUUUCUGUGUCUUUGAGUUAAUCAAAAUCCUUUGGAAUGAGGUAUCAUGGAGGGUGACAAUCCCGUUCAUGGUUAAUUCUAAGAUGCUUUAUGAUGCGUUUUCGAAGAGUCGAGUUGUUUGGGAUUGCAGCUCAAAAUGGGAGGUAAAUUUCUCCUAAGGCUAAAUAUUGGCGAGAGACCGAUAGCGAACAAGUACCGUGAGGGAAAGAUGAAAAGAACUUUGAAAAGAGAGUUAAACAGUACGUGAAAUUGUUGAAAGGGAAACGAUUGAAGUCAGUCGUACCAGCGGGAAAUCAACCUUUCGAGUGGGGUUUUGGAGUUUUGAAGUGUGUCAAAACCUUGAAGAUUUCAAAAUUUUCGCUCUUUUGGUGUACUUUCUCGCAGGUAGGUUAACAUCGAUUUUGAUCAUCAUAAAAGGAUUGGAGGAAUGUAGCUUCGAUCUCGUAUUGAAGUGUUAUAGCCUUUGGUAAAUGUUGAUGAUUAGGAUCGAGGAUUGCAACGAAUACCCUUUUGGGCUAUCCGCCUGAUCUCUGAUACGUGACCUUGGUAUUGAAAGCGUGCUUAUGAUAUUAAGGUAUUACGGUCAAAAGGUUAGAACGGAUUACAUUCGUUAAGGAUGUUGACGUAAUGGCUUUAAACGACCCGUCUUGAAACACGGACCAAGGAG